CAAUGGGAUGGGAUCUCUCUGGCUCUAUCCCUCUCUAUAUAUACAUGAUUAUAUGAGUGUGUAAAAAUCAUCUUGUAGAUCUCUUGAAACAAGUGUCCCAAUAGCGUCGUAUUAUCAAGAUGGACAAGUACCCAACUCCCAUCCGUGCAAGAGUCCUACUGCAAGCUCUACUUCUUCUUCUCAUAUGUCAUGCUACUACUACACAAUGUCGAAUCAUCAAUGGCAUCGAUAAGGAUAAGAUCAAUUUACAUGGGUUGUGUGUCAUAGA